rnacentral:misc_RNA from 1 species
CUUUUAAUCCUUCAUAUGACUGGGAAACUGUGGAGUCUAUCUCUGCAAGAUUGAUGUCAUGGCUUUUUCCAACUUCAAAAGUGUACCAGACACUGGAAUGGAAAUCCUAGUUCAACUUCAUUCGACAUUGAACUGAAUAUAAAGACUGCUGUGCUGUAUCCAAAGUGGUGAUAAUGUGCAUAAUCUAACUUUUUGAGACCCCCCAUUGACGCAAUUCAUUAUUCUGGGUUUCAAGUUAAUGUAAGUGGGGAAAUGUAUCACGAGAAACUAACAUUAUAAGUUACAAUGUGUAUCAAGGA